AACGCUGGCGGCGCGCUUAACACAUGCAAGUCGAGCGAGAACCAGGGCUUCGGCCCUGGGGACAGCGGCGAACGGGUGAGUAACACGUGGGUAAUCUGCCCUCGGUUCUGGGAUAGCCCGGGGAAACCCGGAUUAAUACCGGAUAGCCUCUAGAGCCCUCGGGCUCGUGAGAAAAGGUAGCUUCGGCCUCCGACCGAGGAGGAGCCUGCGGCGGAUUAGCUUGUUGGCGGGGUAACGGCCCACCAAGGCGACGAUCCGUAGCUGGUCUGAGAAGACGAUCAGCCACACUGGGGCUGAGAAACGGCCCAGACUCCUACGGGAGGCAGCAGUGGGGAAUCGUGCGCAAUGGGCGAAAGCCUGACGCAGCGACGCCGCGUGAGGGAAGAAGGCCUUCGGGUUGUAAACCUCUUUCAGGAGGGACGAAGCCACUCGGGUUAAUAGCCCAGAGGGUGACGGUACCUCCAGAAGAAGCCCCGGCUAACUACGUGCCAGCCGCCGCAGUAAGAC
rnacentral:rRNA from 1 species